GUUAAACUUCACCAGAGAGGAAACUUCCUGCAUGUGGUUGGUUUUGCUGCCUAGAGAUGCGUCGGGCUCUCUGUUUCUUAGCCUGCAAAAGGGUGCAUUUCAGUUUUAGGCUGUAAGGGCAGCCAUCCCUAAGGUUCCAUAGCCUGCUACUUUAUUUGAUCAUUUGACUCUUGAAAGCAUUAAAACUAUAAGAGCUCUAGUCGUCGACUCUUCUGC
rnacentral:misc_RNA from 1 species